UAUAUAUAUCACAGAUUAUAACGAAAAGAGGUAAGGAGAAAGAGGAAAGACCUUCAGAAAGAAAGAAAGAAAGAAAGAAAAAUGGCCGGAGAAGAGAGCAGCAAGAAAAUCAACAGAUGGUCACUUGAGGGGAUGACUGCUCUUGUCACAGGAGGAACACAAGGAAUUGGGUAUGCUAUCGUGGAGGAACUAGCAAGUUUGGGUGCAAAGGUGCAUACAUGUUCUUGGAACCAGCCCCAGGUUGAUGAAUGCUUUAACUCGAGGGAAGUCGAAGGGAUUUCAAGUCACUGGUUCGGUCUGCAACUUGAUAUUCCAAGAUCAAAGAGAAAAAUUAGUCAAAAACUGUUUCCGAUUUGUUCCAUAGAAAACUCAACAUACUGAGUUUAGACGACAUUUAACUGGAAAUCUUAAAAUUUCUAAAAGUUAUAAUGUAAUAUGUAUACUGGUGAGGUGUGAGAAAUAUAUAUCGUUUUUACUUGAGCGUGCUGAUGAACAUAUUGAAGAAACUGCAAAAUCUCUCGAACUGCUUUAAAACAAAUCGGAGAGACAAAUAUAAAGGAUCUGUCAAUUGUGAUAUUUCUUUGCCCCUACCGGCAACAUCUUAUGUAACGGAACAAACUGUUUGUGUUGACGGAGGAGCAACUAUCAAUGGUUAUUAUCUUUCUGAUAA